rnacentral:lncRNA from 1 species
CCAAGUUAAAUAGUGUGCAAUAACAGUCAACCCAUGAAGGAACAAAUUAAUUUAUAGCUUUAACGAACAAUUCGGACUAGUUAUAGGCAAGCAAUAUGAACGUGAGCAGAUUUGAUAAUUAAAACAAUUAACUUCAUGAGAUUAAACAUGUCCAUAACAUGAACAAAUUUACAAUGUUCUUACUCACAUAGCAAGGUUUAAGGCAUUGGAUACCUGGUUGGCAGCAAAAUAACCAAAGAAAAUAAGUCUCUGAUUGCAGAAAAUAACUUAGAACAUGCCAAAAUAAAGCCAGAGAAACAGAAGCUAGCCAACUCAGCAAUAAAAAUCCAACAGCAAUCCAUGGCCUCUUUCAGUCCACCAGUUUUAGAAACUCAAAACCCAGGCGAUGCAGCAGGUUUAGAUUUGGUUUUUUGUUUUUUUUGAGUUGUGUAUAUUCUUCAAAAUCUACCAUUUCUAUGGUGUGAAGAACGAAGAAAAAGCAAGGAGGUGCGUCAUAUUUGAAAUAGGGAAAUGGUCGUUUUCCUAUGAAGGAGCAGGUCUCAUUUUCUCUUUUGGCGUGGAAACGGCACCCUCCGCUGAAGGAGAAGGUCCUCCUCUUCUUUUGCCUCUUAGGUCUGAGCCCAAAAAUCUGAUGUCCCCUCCCCUUUUAGAUUACAGUAUUUUGAGUUUUUUAAUGUGAAGAGGGAGUAUUGG